CGGGGAUGCAGACAACACUUCCUCUAAAAACAGGGCAGUUACCGAAGAGAGAUUACGACAUAACACUAGCGUCCGUUCCUGAAUACCUAACUGGCAUCCAUAGUCUCAAGGGUCUCAAACUGGCUUUAAUCGACGAGUGGACCUCAACGAAGUAGCUGACUCGCUCGCCCAAAUCGCAGCGAACAUAACAGCCUGGGACUGACACCAAACUGGCGCAAUGAGGUCAUGAGAAAAAUGGACAUUUGGGAGAGCAGGCUACUCACAGAACCCACCACCGGGAUGUGCACAGGCAGGCUGAGGAAUGGCGUUUGUGAGACUCGUGCUGCGUGAAUAACCUCGGGAGCCUGGUUAUGUACAAUAUAUGAUUUGGCCUCCAGGUCAGAACUGGCC